rnacentral:rRNA from 1 species
UUAGAGUUUGAUCCUGGCUCAGGAUGAACGCUAGCUACAGGCUUAACACAUGCAAGUCGAGGGGAAACGACAUCGAAAGCUUGCUUUUGAUGGGCGUCGACCGGCGCACGGGUGAGUAACGCGUAUCCAACCUGCCCAUCACUUGGGGAUAACCUUGCGAAAGUAAGACUAAUACCCAAUGACGUCUCUAGAAGACAUCUGAAAGAGAUUAAAGAUUUAUCGGUGAUGGAUGGGGAUGCGUCUGAUUAGCUUGUUGGCGGGGUAACGGCCCACCAAGGCGACGAUCAGUAGGGGUUCUGAGAGGAAGGUCCCCCACAUUGGAACUGAGACACGGUCCAAACUCCUACGGGAGGCAGCAGUGAGGAAUAUUGGUCAAUGGACGAGAGUCUGAACCAGCCAAGUAGCGUGCAGGAAGACGGCCCUAUGGGUUGUAAACUGCUUUUAUAAGGGAAUAAAGUGAGUCUCGUGAGACUUUUUGCAUGUACCUUAUGAAUAAGGACCGGCUAAUUCCGUGCCAGCAGCCGCGGUAAUACGGAAGGUCCGGGCGUUAUCCGGAUUUAUUGGGUUUAAAGGGAGCGUAGGCCGGAGAUUAAGCGUGUUGUGAAAUGUAGAUGCUCAACAUCUGAACUGCAGCGCGAACUGGUUUCCUUGAGUACGCACAAAGUGGGCGGAAUUCGUGGUGUAGCGGUGAAAUGCUUAGAUAUCACGAAGAACUCCGAUUGCGAAGGCAGCUCACUGGAGCGCAACUGACGCUGAAGCUCGAAAGUGCGGGUAUCGAACAGGAUUAGAUACCCUGGUAGUCCGCACGGUAAACGAUGGAUGCCCGCUGUUGGUCUGAAUAGGUCAGCGGCCAAGCGAAAGCAUUAAGCAUCCCACCUGGGGAGUACGCCGGCAACGGUGAAACUCAAAUGAAUUGACGG